rnacentral:rRNA from 1 species
CAAUAGCGUAUAUUAAAGUUGUUGCGGUUAAAAAGCUCGUAGUUGGAUUUCUGUUGGGAACGACCGGUCCGCCCAUUGGGUGUGUAUCUGGCUUGUUCUCGGCAUCUUCUUGGUGAACGUUGCUGCACUUGACUGUGUGGAGCGCUACCCAGGACUUUUACUUUGAGGAAAUUAGAGUGUUUCAAGCAGGCAUAUGCCUUGAAUACAUUAGCAUGGAAUAAUAAGAUAGGACUUUGGUCUAUUUUGUUGGUUUGCAGACCGAAGUAAUGAUUAAUAGGGAUAGUUGGGGGUAUUUAUAUUCCGAUGUCAGAGGUGAAAUUCUUAGAUUUUCGGAAGAUAAACUUAUGCGAAAGCAUUUACCAAGGAUGUUUNCAUUAA